GCUGGGUGUGGUGGCUCACACCUGUAAUCCCAGCUACUCAGGAGGCUGAGGCAGGAGAAUCACUUGAACCCAGGGGGCAGAGGUUGCAGUGAGCUGAGAUGACACUACUGUACUCUAUCCUGGGCAACAGAGUGAGACUCCGUCUCAA
rnacentral:SRP_RNA from 1 species